GGGUCCUAGCUCAGGGGUAGAGUAUCUGCUUUGUAAGCAGAAGGUCACAGGUUUGAUUCCUGGCACCUCCG